rnacentral:rRNA from 1 species
UCCUACGGGAGGCAGCAGUAGGGAAUCUUCCGCAAUGGACGAAAGUCUGACGGAGCAACGCCGCGUGAGUGAUGAAGGCUUUCGGGUCGUAAAACUCUGUUGUUAGGGAAGAACAAGUGCUAGUUGAAUAAGCUGGCACCUUGACGGUACCUAACCAGAAAGCCACGGCUAACUACGUGCCAGCAGCCGCGGUAAUACGUAGGUGGCAAGCGUUAUCCGGAAUUAUUGGGCGUAAAGCGCGCGCAGGUGGUUUCUUAAGUCUGAUGUGAAAGCCCACGGCUCAACCGUGGAGGGUCAUUGGAAACUGGGAGACUUGAGUGCAGAAGAGGAAAGUGGAAUUCCAUGUGUAGCGGUGAAAUGCGUAGAGAUAUGGAGGAACACCAGUGGCGAAGGCGACUUUCUGGUCUGUAACUGACACUGAGGCGCGAAAGCGUGGGGAGCAAACAGGAUUAGAUACCCUGGUAGUCCACGCCGUAAACGAUGAGUGCUAAGUGU